CCAGCUCCAAUAGCGUAUAUUAAAGUUGUUGUGGUUAAAAAGCUCGUAGUUGGAUCUCGGCGGACAGAAGUCGGUCCGAAUGCUUUCGGUACUGGCUUGUUUGUCCGUGUGUUUUGCCAGAGGCAGGCGGGUGCUCUUCGCCGAGUGUCCGUCUGUGCUGGCAGGUUUACUUUGAAAAAAUCAGAGUGCUCAAAGCAAGCUCUCACGCUUGAAUAUUCGUGCAUGGAAUAAUAGAAUAGGAUGUCGUUUCUAUUUUGUUGGUUUUCGGAAAUCGACAUAAUGAUUAAUAGGGACAGUCGGGGGCAUUUGUAUUCAAACGACAGAGGUGAAAUUCUUGGACCGUUUGAAGACAAACUACUGCGAAAGCAUUUGCCAAGAAUGUUUUCAUUAAUCAAGAACGAAAGUUAGAGGUUCGAAGGCGAUUAGAUACCGCCCUAGUUCUAACUAUAAACGAUGCCAGCUAGCGAUCUGCAGGCGUUUUACUUUACGACCUUGCAGGGAGCUUCCGGGAAACCAAAGCUUGUGGGUUCCAGGGGAAGUAUGGUUGCAAAGCUGAAACUUAAAGGAAUUGACGGAAGGGCACCACCAGGAGUGGAGCCUGCGGCUUAAUUCGACUCAAC
rnacentral:rRNA from 1 species